CAUUAUUUUACACCUGAUUCUGUUCUAUUAGCAAAGGAACAUUAUUUUACACCUGAUUCUGUUCUAUUAGCAAAGGAACAUUAUUUUACACCUGAUUCUGUUCUAUUACCAAAGGAACUAACAGCAGCCAGGAAAGGUUAAUCUGCAUGCACUCCACACACUGAAGGAAGAGGACACCAAACACACUCUCCUCCUCACACACACACACACACACACACACACACACACACGUCUACAGCACACCAAACACACUCUCCUCCUCACACACACACACGUCUACAGCACACCAAACACACUCUCCUCCUCACACACACACACACGUCUACAGCACACCAAACACACUCUCCUCCUCACACACACACACGUCUACAGCACACCAAACACACUCUCCUCCUCACACACACACACACACUUAUACUCCACACCAAACACACUCUCCUCCUCACACACACACACUUAUACUCCACACCAAACACACUCUCCUCCUCACACACACACGUCUACAGCACACCAAACACACUCUCCUCCUCACACACACACACACACCACACACACACACACACACACACGUAUACAACACACCAAACACACUCUCCUCACACACACACACACACACACUUAUACUCCACACCAAACACACUCUCCUCCCCACACACACACGUCUACAGCACACCAAACACACUCUCUUCCUCUCUCACACACACACACACACACACACACACACGUCUACAGCACACCAUACACACUCUCCUCCCCACACACACACGUCUACAGCACACCAAACACACUCUCCUCCCCACACACACACACACACACACACACACACACACACACACACACGUCUACAGCACACCAUACACACUCUCCUCCCCACACACACACGUCUACAGCACACCAAACACACUCUCCUCCUCACACACACACACACACGUCUACAGCACACCAAACACACUCUCCUCCCCACACACACACGUCUACAGCACACCAAACACACUCUCCUCCUCACACACACACACACACGUCUACAGCACACCAAACACACUCUUCUCCUCACACUCACACUCACACACACACACACGUCUACAGCACACCAAACACACUCUCCUCACACACACACACACUUAUACUCCACACCAAACACACUCUCCUCCCCACACACACACUUCUACAGCACACCAAACACACUCUCCUCCCCACACACACACUUAUACUCCACAGCACACCAAACACACUCUCCUCCCCACACACACACUUAUACUCCACAGCACACCAAACACACUCUCCUCACACACACACACACACUUAUACAGCACACCAAACACACUCUCCUCCUCACACACACACACACACACACACACACACACACACGUCUACAGCACACCAUACACACUCUCCUCCCCACACACACACGUCUACAGCACACCAAACACACUCUCCUCCUCACACACACACACACACGUCUACAGCACACCAAACACACUCUCCUCCCCACACACACACGUCUACAGCACACCAAACACACUCUCCUCCUCACACACACACACACACGUCUACAGCACACCAAACACACUCUCCUCCUCACACUCACACUCACACACACACACACGUCUACAGCACACCAAACACACUCUCCUCACACACACACACACUUAUACUCCACACCAAACACACUCUCCUCCCCACACACACACUUCUACAGCACACCAAACACACUCUCCUCCACACACACACACACUUAUACUCCACAGCACACCAAACACACUCUCCUCCCCACACACACACUUAUACUCCACAGCACACCAAACACACUCUCCUCACACACACACACACACUUAUACAGCACACCAAACACACUCUCCUCCUCACACACACACACACACACACACACACACACACACACACACACACACGUCUACAGCACACCAAACACACUCUCCUCCCCACACACACACACACACACACACGUCUACAGCACACCAAACACACUCUCCUCCUCACACACACACGUCUACAGCACACCAAACACACUCUCCUCCUCACACACACGCUUAUACAGCACACCAAACACACUCUCCUCCCCACACACACACACACACACACACCCACACACACACACACACACACACACACACACGUCUACAGCACACCAAACACACUCUCCUCUUCACACACACACACUUAUACUCCACACCAAACACACUCUCCUCCCCACACACACACACACACACGUCUACAGCACACCAAACACACUCUCCUCCCCACACACACACACACACACACACACUCUCCUCCUCACACACACACCUCUACAGCACACCAAACACACUCUCCUCCUCACACACACACACUUAUACUCCACACCAAACACACUCUCUUCCUCACACACACACGUCUACAGCACACCAAACACACUCUCCUCCUCACACACACACACUUAUACUCCACACCAAACACACUCUCCUCCCCACACACACACA
ensembl:lncRNA